AACGAACGCUGGCGGCAGGCUUAACACAUGCAAGUCGGACGAGAUCUUCGGAUCUAGUGGCAGACGGGUGAGGAACACGUGGGAACAUCCCUUUCAGUUCGGAAUAACGUUGGGAAACUAACGCUAAUACCGGAUACGUCCUUCGGGAGAAAGAUUUAUCGCUGAAAGAUUGGCCCGCGUCUGAUCAGCUAGUUGGUGAGGUAACGGUUCACCAAGGCUACGAUCAGUAGCUGAUCUGAGAGGAUGAUCAGCCACAUUGGGACUGAGACACGGCCCAAACUCCUACGGGAGGCAGCAGUGGGGAAUAUUGGACAAUGGGCGCAAGCCUGAUCCAGCCAUGCCGCGUGUGUGAUGACGGCCUUCGGGUUGUAAAGCUCUUUUGUCCGGGAAGAUAAUGACUGUACCGGAAGAAUAAGCCCCGGCAAACUUCGUGCCAGCCGCCGCAGUAA
rnacentral:rRNA from 1 species